rnacentral:rRNA from 1 species
AUUGAACGCUGGCGGCAGGCCUAACACAUGCAAGUCGAGCGGAUGAAGGGAGCUUGCUCCUGGAUUCAGCGGCGGACGGGUGAGUAAUGCCUAGGAAUCUGCCUGGUAGUGGGGGAUAACGUCCGGAAAGGGGCGCUAAUACCGCAUACGUCCUGAGGGAGAAAGUGGGGGAUCUUCGGACCUCACGCUAUCAGAUGAGCCUAGGUCGGAUUAGCUAGUUGGUGGGGUAAAGGCCUACCAAGGCGACGAUCCGUAACUGGUCUGAGAGGAUGAUCAGUCACACUGGAACUGAGACACGGUCCAGACUCCUACGGGAGGCAGCAGUGGGGAAUAUUGGGCAAUGGGCGAAAGCCUGAUCCAGCCAUGCCGCGUGUGUGAAGAAGGUCUUCGGAUUGUAAAGCACUUUAAGUUGGGAGGAAGGGCAGUAAGUUAAUACCUUGCUGUUUUGACGUUACCAACAGAAUAAGCACCGGCUAACUUCGUG